GCCAAUAAUAAAUAGAUUUAAAUGGUCAUCUGUGUACAUAAAUUGGGCACCAAUCAAGAAAACCAUUGAUAAAUUUUGAUUUUCAUGAAAAUUGUGCUAGUUGAAAUAUAAACUCCAACUGAGUACUCAUAUUUAUUUGUUGUAUUUACUCCCAAAAUUCCAGCUAGUCCAACUUCAUCCAUAUACUCCGUGACUCUAGAAUCCUCCUCCAGCUAAAACCCUAAACCCCCCGGAUUACACUACAAUAUAAACAAACAGAAAUCUAUUUCAGUUCUCCGUCGCCUCCAAACCAACUUCACCAUUUCCUCGGAUCAUAACAAUUCUAGAGCGAGACAGAUACAGAGAAAAUGGCAAGUUCAACCGCUUCAAGGCUGCUCAGCU
rnacentral:lncRNA from 1 species